rnacentral:rRNA from 1 species
GGGUUGUGAGGUUAAGCGACUAAGCGUACACGGUGGAUGCCCUGGCAGUCAGAGGCGAUGAAGGACGUGCUAAUCUGCGAUAAGCGCCGGUAAGGUGAUAUGAACCGUUAUAACCGGCGAUUUCCGAAUGGGGAAACCCAGUGUGAUUCGUCACACUAUCAUUAACUGAAUCCAUAGGUUAAUGAGGCGAACCGGGGGAACUGAAACAUCUAAGUACCCCGAGGAAAAGAAAUCAACCGAGAUUCCCCCAGUAGCGGCGAGCGAACGGGGAGGAGCCCAGAGCCUGAAUCAGCAUGUGUGUUAGUGGAAGCGUCUGGAAAGGCGCGCGAUACAGGGUGACAGCCCCGUACACAAAAGCGCAUGUGCUGUGAGCUCGAUGAGUAGGGCGGGACACGUGGUAUCCUGUCUGAAUAUGGGGGGACCAUCCUCCAAGGCUAAAUACUCCUGACUGACCGAUAGUGAACCAGUACCGUGAGGGAAAGGCGAAAAGAACCCCGGCGAGGGGAGUGAAAAAGAACCUGAAACCGUGUACGUACAAGCAGUGGGAGCNNUGACUGCGUACCUUUUGUAUAAUGGGUCAGCGACUUAUAUUCUGUAGCAAGGUUAACCGUAUAGGGGAGCCGGAGGGAAACCGAGUCUUAAUUGGGCGUUAAGUUGCAGGGUAUAGACCCGAAACCCGGUGAUCUAGCCAUGGGCAGGUUGAAGGUUGGGUAACACUAACUGGAGGACCGAACCGACUAAUGUUGAAAAAUUAGCGGAUGACCUGUGGCUGGGGGUGAAAGGCCAAUCAAACCGGGAGAUAGCUGGUUCUCCCCGAAAGCUAUUUAGGUAGCGCCUCGUGAAUUCAUCUCCGGGGGUAGAGCACUGUUUCGGCUAGGGGGCCAUCCCGGCUUACCAACCCGAUGCAAACUGCGAAUACCGGAGAAUGUUAUCACGGGAGACACACGGCGGGUGCUAACGUCCGUCGUGAAGAGGGAAACAACCCAGACCGCCAGCUAAGGUCCCAAAGUCAUGGUUAAGUGGGAAACGAUGUGGGAAGGCCCAGACAGCCAGGAUGUUGGCUUAGAAGCAGCCAUCAUUUAAAGAAAGCGUAAUAGCUCACUGGUCGAGUCGGCCUGCGCGGAAGAUGUAACGGGGCUAAACCAUGCACCGAAGCUGCGGCAGCGACGCUGGAGGUAUCAGAAGUGCGAAUGCUGACAUAAGUAACGAUAAAGCGGGUGAAAAGCCCGCUCGCCGGAAGACCAAGGGUUCCUGUCCAACGUUAAUCGGGGCAGGGUGAGUCGACCCCUAAGGCGAGGCCGAAAGGCGUAGUCGAUGGGAAACGGGUUAAUAUUCCCGUACUUGGUGUUACUGCGAAGGGGGGACGGAGAAGGCUAUGUUGGCCGGGCGACGGUUGUCCCGGUUUAAGCGUGUAGGUGUGUGUUCCAGGUAAAUCCGGUUCACUUUAACACUGAGGCGUGACGACGAGGCACUACGGUGCUGAAGCAACAAAUGCCCUGCUUCCAGGAAAAGCCUCUAAGCAUCAGGUAACAUCAAAUCGUACCCCAAACCGACACAGGUGGUCAGGUAGAGAAUACCAAGGCGCUUGAGAGAACUCGGGUGAAGGAACUAGGCAAAAUGGUGCCGUAACUUCGGGAGAAGGCACGCUGACACGUAGGUGAAGUGAUUUACUCACGGAGCUGAAGUCAGUCGAAGAUACCAGCUGGCUGCAACUGUUUAUUAAAAACACAGCACUGUGCAAACACGAAAGUGGACGUAUACGGUGUGACGCCUGCCCGGUGCCGGAAGGUUAAUUGAUGGGGUCAGCGCAAGCGAAGCUCCUGAUCGAAGCCCCGGUAAACGGCGGCCGUAACUAUAACGGUCCUAAGGUAGCGAAAUUCCUUGUCGGGUAAGUUCCGACCUGCACGAAUGGCGUAAUGAUGGCCAGGCUGUCUCCACCCGAGACUCAGUGAAAUUGAACUCGCUGUGAAGAUGCAGUGUACCCGCGGCAAGACGGAAAGACCCCGUGAACCUUUACUAUAGCUUGACACUGAACAUUGAGCCUUGAUGUGUAGGAUAGGUGGGAGGCUUUGAAGUGUGGACGCCAGUCUGCAUGGAGCCGACCUUGAAAUACCACCCUUUAAUGUUUGAUGUUCUAACGUGGACCCGUAAUCCGGGUUGCGGACAGUGUCUGGUGGGUAGUUUGACUGGGGCGGUCUCCUCCUAAAGAGUAACGGAGGAGCACGAAGGUUGGCUAAUCCUGGUCGGACAUCAGGAGGUUAGUGCAAUGGCAUAAGCCAGCUUGACUGCGAGCGUGACGGCGCGAGCAGGUGCGAAAGCAGGUCAUAGUGAUCCGGUGGUUCUGAAUGGAAGGGCCAUCGCUCAACGGAUAAAAGGUACUCCGGGGAUAACAGGCUGAUACCGCCCAAGAGUUCAUAUCGACGGCGGUGUUUGGCACCUCGAUGUCGGCUCAUCACAUCCUGGGGCUGAAGUAGGUCCCAAGGGUAUGGCUGUUCGCCAUUUAAAGUGGUACGCGAGCUGGGUUUAGAACGUCGUGAGACAGUUCGGUCCCUAUCUGCCGUGGGCGCUGGAGAACUGAGGGGGGCUGCUCCUAGUACGAGAGGACCGGAGUGGACGCAUCACUGGUGUUCGGGUUGUCAUGCCAAUGGCACUGCCCGGUAGCUAAAUGCGGAAGAGAUAAGUGCUGAAAGCAUCUAAGCACGAAACUUGCCCCGAGAUGAGUUCUCCCUGAGACUUAGAGUCUCCUGAAGGAACGUUGAAGACGACGACGUUGAUAGGCCGGGUGUGUAAGCGCAGCGAUGCGUUGAGCUAACCGGUACUA